CCCUUAGAUGUCCUGGGCUGCACGCGCGCUACACUGAUGUGUCCAGUAAGCACCUAACCUCUUCCGAAAGGAACGGGUAACCUUUGCAAAGCACAUCGUGAUGGGGAUAGAUUAUUGCAAUUAUUAGUCUUGAACGAGGAAUUCCUAGUAAGCACAAGUCAUCAGCUUGUGUUGAUUACGUCCCUGCCCUUUGUACACACCGCCCGUCGCACCUACCGAUUGAACGUUCCGGUGAGACCUUGGGAUUUGGUCUUUGGUACUUUAUUGUGCCGUUGACCGAAAAACUUGAGCAAACCUUAACGUUUAGAGGAAGGUGAAGUCGUAACA
rnacentral:rRNA from 1 species